AGGUCUUCCUAGAUGGAAGAACCAAGACGCAGGAGACAGCAAGUCGCUGGAGGCAGCCAAACUUCUGGACAAGAUGCUGAGUGACCUGGAGAGACGUCGUGAGAUGAAACGAAAGGCUGUGCUGAAGACUGAGUUUCCUGGAGGAAGCAGUGGCUCAUUGGCAGCCUCUGCAGCAGGAAGGGUGUCGAUGCCAGGCACAGGCCCAGGAGGUGAGGGUGCUGGGAUAGGUUCUCCAGCAGCUGGGAUGGAAGUUGGUUUGGAACCCUUGGGAGCUUCUGCAGGUGUGUCUGCAGGGAGGACUUUUCAAGCUCCAGGGCUGGUUGCUGCACACAAGCCCAGCUCCCAUGGCAGGGGUGAGUAGGUUACCCCUGCUGUCCCCACAGGCUGAGCCCUGGUCCUGUGGAAUCCAUUUCUGGAGAAAUGGAAAUACUUUCUCUUAAGGUCCUCUGAGAGGGAGGAAAAAACCUACAAAACAAAAUAAGUCCCUGGAGGAAUCCAAACAAGCAGACCAAAUCUUGACUGGACUGGAGAGACAACGUGGUGGGUGCAUUUCCCUCAUGCUUCCCCUGGGACUCAGCAGC